rnacentral:lncRNA from 1 species
GGACCGAGUCGCGCAGCGCCUGCAGCAACAGGUAGCCCGAGGGGCGGAGGUCCCAGUGGGAACCGGAGCUGAGCUUUGUCCUGCAGAUAAGAGGGCGCUCCCAAGGGACACAGUGGGUGGCGGCCACACAAAAGUGUCCGAGCGCCUCGCGGACAGCAACGAGGGAAAGGUCUCCAAAAAGUGCGACCAAGUGGGGAAGAAGGCGUGAUUACCACUGUCAGCGUCUAGAACGCAUCAUGAGUACGCUGAGUUCCUCUGUACUGCAUUGUUCUUAAGGAUCAGUGAUCUUUAUGGACGUACAAUACAACAUCGAGUCAUUCCUGGAUGAAAAGUUAUCAAACUUCGUCCUUUGGAGUUGCUUAAAAGUUAAGAUGUUGGAAUUUUUGAUAAUGCCUUCCCUAUGUGGAUUACUACAAUUUGAUCCCUGGGAAUUCUCCACCUUAAAGAAGGUAUGUUGCCUUUUUAAUACGCUACCAGAUACUUCGUUUUGGGGCUGGUGCUUAUGCCAUUACAGAAUUGUCUAGUUAUUUUGAGCUGUUGCCGGAUCAAAGUGAUUUAUGACUUCGGGUUUCCUUGUUUUCAUCUGGGUUUUGUAGGUUUGUUUUCAUGUGGAAUGAUCAUUUGGGUACUUCUAAGCCGAUUUUAUUACUUUUACAAUGUCUUCUUCAACACUAUCACGCAGAGAGAAUGUGGAUUACAUAGUCACUAAGGAAAGUUAUGUAACAAUGAUGGGCCCGAUAGGCAAAUGUCCUAUUUUAUUUAUGAUUGUUUUAGGUUUUAAAUGUCACAGUGAAUGUUUCUGUAUCACCAGAGCUUUUGUGAUUUGCUUUGGUUUUUUCACUUUUGGCAUUUAUUUUGGUAAACGAAAAUCCAAAAGUAGCCAGAAAGAAAUGAAUUCCUAAUAUCUGGGAGUCAAUAUAAAAUACAGUAAGUUCUAUCAGAAUAAAAACUUGACUAUGUAAUAACAUCAGAGGCGGUUUCAUUUGUUUAAUCUUUAUGGUAUACAUUGUUUCCAUAGUGGUCAUUAAGAGUCUUCUUUCUUUUAUGUCUUAUAAUCCAUUCUUGAUCAUCUCUGUGAGAAAGCAUUUAAAAGUUCACAUAAAUACUGUUGGCAAUAUAAAAAACUAUUUUGAUACAGUAUUUACCUUCCUGGUUUAGCAGUUGUGUUUAAUGGAAAGUGAGGAUUUUCUAUGUUUAGAAUAGAUUGCUUUGAAAUGAUUUAAGUUGUAGGAUUUGAUCCUCAAAAUGUUUCAAGUUCAAGGAGGUUUUAUAUCCUACAGAUGGAGAAUAUCAUUGCUAUAUUACUGCAAUUGAGAAAUUAAGGUAUAAUUAAGGUAAUUGGAAAUUGGAAGUUUUUUUAUCCUGCUAUAAGUAAAAGUAUUAUGAUUUGCUUCUUUCUAGUUGUGGAAAGUUGGACAAGCAACUUAAUCAUCCUGAACUUUAGUUUAUCAUCUUUAAAAUAAAAGAUUAGGUUAAAAAAAACUUGAAGAAAUCUUUUAGGGUUAAGAUUUUGUGAUUUGGUGAUUGCUCCUAUAAUUAAGGAACAUCUUCUCUUGUGAAGUUCAUCUUUCAAUUGUUGAACAGUAGAGCUACAGACAUAGAAAACUUUCUGUGUGUUCAUAACAAUUAUUUUGCGUAACUGCUUAGCUCAGGAAUAUUAGUUCAGGAAGUAGGAUUUACAUUUCUGUGAAGUAUACUUUUGGCCAAGUAUGUUGUAUGAAAAUGUCAGGCUUCCUGAGAUGUUUGCAGCAAAAGUUUAUCUGCUGGAAUAUCGGGGGGCGGGGGGGUGUCUGUGUAGAGUGCAGUGUUGCUUCCCAACAAACACUUUACCUAGAGAUAUCGGAAGUGAAUAUAUUCAAUAUGUCUUAAGGGCCACCCUAAGUUGGGCUCAGAUGUUUAGCCAUAGAAUUCGGAAUGAAGCAGACCCCAGUUUGAAUCCCAGCCCAGGAAACUUCUCUUGAUAACCUUGGACAGGUUACUUGAUUUCCUGGAUAUCAGUUUCUCAUUUUUUAAGUAGGGGUCCUAACACUUAUCCCAUAGGGUUGUUGUAGGGAAUAUAUUUUUAAAAAUCAUAAAGGUAAGAAAAAAACUUAACAGGGGGGAGGCAUCUAUAAAUAUGUUUAACUAUAUUAAAAACUACCCCUGUUGCCUUUCAUUAUGAAUCAGUGAGUGACCUUUCCAUACUUCCAACUUUCUUUGUUGACUGCCUUGCAAAUUUCAAGCCAUAUUAACCAGAAGUAGUCACUGAAAUAUUCAGAGUAAGUUUGGAGAGAAGUUUUCGCAUGUUUAGAUUUUUUUGUUCUCUAAAAAUAUGUUCUAUUCAAGUCUUCAUUCAGUUAAGUGUGGAUGAAUUCACUCCAACAAACAUUUAUGAAGUCUUGCUGUGUGUAAGUGUGUUGCCAAAGGUCAUUGCUUCUUCUUGGAAUGUGUGACCUUUCCUUUUCCUUACAGACAUUUCUGUAAAUUGAGAUAAGAGCAAGUUUCUAGAAUUAAUUUAUACAAAUUCUCUAUUUUCAAUGGUGGCAAUGAGGAGUAGACUUAGACAUGGUUUAAAAAAUUUUGUUCAUUCGCUUUUCAGUUAUGAUAUAAAGUGAUGGUUCAGUGAUUUCUUGAUGAGGAAAUCAAGAGCUACAGCACAUUUUCUGAUAUUAGUUUUUUAUAUAUUAUCCCAGUAUAAACAACACUUGGAAGAAUAGCAUAUCAUUGUGAAAUGAAGUUUAAAGUCUCGGAUUUUCAUUUUCUAGAUCUAUAAUUUAGCAAAAUACAUUGCCAUCUCUGAGUGAUCAUUUAGUUUGAGGAAGAUUAUAUUCAUUUACCCGUAGGAAGUUUCUGAUGGGAAUGUUAAAGUACUGCUCCUUCUCAUUUGUAAUUUACCAGCAGAUAGUUGCCUAGAAAUGAUAAUAAUUAAAAAGAAAAUAUGGGAUAAAUCAAUAUUAAAAUGGGAGAAAUUUUUUCUAGCUGUAUGGAAAACUUUGUGGGACAACAUUUAUUUUAAUCAGCAGAUUAUAUAUCUUUAGUAUAGCAACUACUAAUGUAACAAUUUAUAAUUACAGAGUUUAAAAUGAUAGAUUCCUUGAUGUUUUUCUAUAUGAUGUUAAUUCUUAGGUUAUAACCAAAUAUACUUAAUAACUUUACUAAAAGUAUCAGAUUUUAUAGUCUCAGUUAUUUAAAACUGUUUGUUUGACAUGGAUUAAUUUGAAUUAUUGAAACCAGAACAAUCUGCAAAAGUAUUCAUAAGAAAUUUACAUAAGAAGAAAAUCUAAAUAUUCAGCUACGCCUUCUAAAAUGAUAAAUACAACACAUACCAAUAAGCAUCUUAUAAAGCAUUUGUUUAACUUUGAUCUUUAAAAUCUAGGAAGUGAUCAUUGAAUAUUUUGUACAUUUUGACUGCCAUUUCUACUUAUUUAUUUAAGUUUCUUUAAGAGCAUUAGGUGUUUCUAACUUUACUUUGGUUUCUUCUUUAUGGCCUCAAAUUUACUGAUUUUAAAGUGUCAGUCAUUUCUAAGAACUUCAAUGAAUUUCUGCCCGUUACUGUUGAAGACACAGGUGUUUAGAGAUAUAUUUAUUAUGAAUCUAGGAGCUUAUUUUGUUCAUUCGUUCUCUCCUCAUUCACUUUUUUUUUUAAGUCAGGUGCCUUCUAUGUGUCAGAUAUUGCUCUAAGCAUUGUGGAUACAAAAGAAAUAAAAGUCCUUGUGCUCUUGGAGCUAUUCUAGUGACAGUAAAAUAUACAUUUAAAGGGGGCAACUACUACUGAGGAAAAUAAACCAGGAAAGGGAGAUGGGGAGUAGGAGGAAUGGGGGUUGCAGUUUUCUGUGAGAUGGCCAAGGAUAACCUCGUGGAGAAGGUGGCAUUUGAGCAAUGAUAUGAAGGAAGUGAAAGAAUGAGCUUUUGACAAAAGAUGGGCAAAAGCUGAAAUAGGAAGGCCAUUUAGGAAGCUAUUUCAGGUAUCACGUGCGGGAUGAUGGCAGCUUGGAUAAGGGUAAAAGUAGCAUGGAGGUAGCGAGAAGGGAACUGAAAUCUGAAGAUAGUUUGGUUGGAGCGAUUUCUGGUGGACUGGAUAGGAAGAAUGAGAGAAAGAGAGCAAUUGCCUUGGGUUUUUUUUUUUUUUUUUUUUUUUUUGACCUGGGCACCUAGAUGGACCCAGUGCCUAUGAACUGCGAUGAAGUGUGGGCUUGGGGUGAGGGAAACUAUGAGCUCAGUUUGGGCACACUAAGACUAAGAUACUUCGGAGUUCCUGCCCUGGCACGACAGGAUUGGUAGCAUCUCUGCAGCACCAGGACACAGGUUCAAUCCCUAGCCUGGCGCAGUGGGUUAAAGGAUCAGGUGUUGCUGGAGCUGUGAUGUAGGUUGCAACUGCAGAUCAGAUCUGAUUUCUGGGCCAGGAAUUCCAUAUGCUGUGAAGUGGCCAAAAAAGAGGAAUAAUAAAAAAAAAAAGAUUAAGAUACUUUUAAAGCAUCUAGGCAGUUUGAGGAGUCUCUGUUGUGGUGCAGUAGAAAUGAAUCGGACUAAUAUCCAUGAGGAUGCAGAUUCAAUCCCUGACCUCAAUCAGUGGGUCUGGGAUCUGGCAUUGCUGUGGCUGUGAUGUAGGCUGGCAACUGCAGCUCUGAUUGGACCCCGGGAACUUCCAUAUGGGGAGGGUGCAGCCCUAAAAACAAAACAAAACAAAACAAAAACCCACAAAAAGCAAACAAAAAACCAUCUAGGCAGUUUGAUACAUAAGUCUGGUUUUCAGGGAAGACAUCUACAAAUACAGAUUCAUGAGUUGGAAGAAAUCAAAUACUGUUGGAAACCAUGAGACUGGAUGAGAUCACUAAGGGAGUGAGUAUAGAAAGUAAAGAAGUCCAGAUCCUGAGCCUUGGGGCCCUUUGGAUUCAGAAGUGGGGAAGGUGAGAAGGGGCAAGUAAAGAUUAGUGAAAAGGGUCUGCCCCUGAGAUGAAAGCCCAGCGAGGAGAGUAUUUCCAGGAGGAAGGCAAGACCAUCUGGGCUAAAUGCUGCUGAUAGAUUGAGCAAGAUGACAAUUGAGAAUAGAAUUGGGCUUAGGCAUUUGGGAGGUCUGUGCUCAUUGGCAGUCUUGGCGAGAACUGUUCUCAUAAUGGUGAGAGAGCACAUCUUUGUCCUAAUUUGUGUGAUCCAUUACAUAUCUUUCACAGAUCUUACCUAUUUUAAGUAAAAUUGGUCAGUACUUUAUAAAUGACAAAAUACCGUCACAUGCGUUAUCUUCAUUGUCUCAUAGUAGCCUAAGAGAGAUGGAAUGACAGUAUCUAUGUUUGUCUAACAGAAGUUGAGACUGAGAAGUAAAGUGAUUUGUUCUAAGUCACCUCAAUAUAAGAUAGGGCUGUUUUUUAACUUCCUGCCCUUUGCUAUUCACAAUAGGGGAGAUGGCAAUAAUAAAACAAAUUCCAAUACAAUGUGAUAGAGGUGAUAAUAGCAUUUAUGCUAUAAUGAUAUUAUGAGCGCAUGUACAAGGUAUGGAAUUAACAUCAGGAUAGGGAAUUAUUGUCUUUUGGGGUCAGAGAAAACUUUCCCAGGUUGGGGUUUAAAAGAUGCAUAGCAUUUUAACAUAUCAUUAAAGGGAAGAACAUUCUAGGCUCAGAAAAUAUGAUGCGCAAAGACGUGGCGGGCUGCAACACGGGAUGAUAAUUGAAAUGUACUGGGGAUGCUGAAGCCACUUGAUUCAUGCUGAACAUGAAAGAGAGUGGAUGAGAAAUCGGUUGGAAUGGUUACAAGUGCUAGUUCAAGCACUAGCGGUUUUAAUAAAACAGCUACUAGGUGCCACCUUAAAUGUAUCUCAUGUCACACAAGAUAGUAACAUGCAGCCGAGUUAGAAAUGCCUGAUUAGGUUGUGAUGAUGGUUGUACAACUAUAAAUGUAAUACAGUUCAUUGAGUUCAAGAAAGAAAUGCCUGAACAGAUAUAUUUCAGGACAAAUGCAUUGUCCUAGUCAUUUUAGAUUGCUGUAACCAAGUACCAUAGUCUGGGUGGCACAGACACAAUAGAAAUUUAUUUUUGGCAGUUCUAGAGCCUGAGCAGACCAAGAUCAAGCUGCCGUGUCUGGUGAGGGCUGGCUUUCUGGUUCAUUGAUACUGUCUUCUGCUAUGUCCUCACGUGGUGAAAUAGGCAAGGGAGCUCUCUGGCAGCUCUUUUAUAAGGUAUGAAUCCUAUUCACGAGGGCUGCAUUCUCAUGACCUAAUCACAAGCUAAAGGCACCACUUCCCAAUACCAUAAUUUUGAUGUUUUAAGUUUCAACAUAUGGAUUUGGGAGAGAUACAAACAUUCAGUCUAUAGCAUGUGGAUUUUCAAAGUUCUAUUCUUCCUUCCAAAUUAAAUGUUUAUGCAGAUCAGCUGCAACUGAAGAAGCCCUAGUGAUUGUAUUUCUGGUCUGUAUCAAUCAGGAUGCUUUUGGCUUCAAGUAAGAAACACUUAACUAGAAGUGCCUUGAAAAGUAGGAUUUAUUUACUUAUUUUAUUUUUUAGUUUCAUCUUAAAUGAAUUUGGAUUAGGGCUACUUCAAGAUGGUCUAAUUAAAAAAAAAAAAAAAAAA